GAAUUUGUACUACACUUGUAUCUGCUAGUACUCUCAUAUUCUCCAAUGAUCCGUUGACUCUUACCAAAUAAAUUACUUCCAUAAAAGAAUUUAGUGGUGCCGUUAGCCUAAUGCAACCACUUCAAAUCUUUGAAUAAACAGAUUCAGCUUGUCUUGCAGAUUUCAAAUGGUAUGUUGGAUUAUGAUGAAAAUCAAACAUGGUUGUAUUGAUUGAUAAGAACAAUUCGUAUUCUAUCUAUUUGGAGAAUAUUGGUUUCUUUCUGUAAAAAAAGGAUUACUAUAGGUAUUUGGAAAUGGCGAGCUGGUGGUGAAAUUCAGAUCAAAUGUUGGCUGUCGAUCUAAGAAAUCCACAUGAACUAGAAUUAGGCCGAGCAACCUUAUAGUCAUCCAGCUUAUUGCACCAAGACAAUCACGGUAUGUAAGCUUUUGAUCAACAAUUUAAUUUUGUUCGUUUAUUUUCAUUUACCAAUUUAAACCAAAAUUUACUCGGUUUUUUUUGUUAAUGAACAAAUUUGUUUACGUUCAUUUAAAUUAUUUAAAGUUCAUUUAAAAGCUGAUUUAUUAUUAAAUCAUUAUAUAUUAAUAGAAUUAUUAUCUGGGGGCUUAUUUUAUUUAUUUAUUUAUAGUAUAUUUGAUUUUAUCUAAAAUAUAAUAUAUAUAUUUAAUAUUUGUGAACAUAUUCAUUUAAUGUUCAUGAAAUAUUUGUUUAACUUAAACGAAUAAAUAUGAGAACAAAUAAGCACAAAUACAAAAUUAAAAUUCUUAGUAGGAAGAGGUUUAAAAAUAAGAUUAACAGCUUUAAUCCAAAAUUCAAACUUUCAAUAAAAUUUGAUUCCAAGUUGUUUGUUUGAAAUUAAAUUAAAACUAAAACAAAUAAAAAUUGAAGGAUUUGAAUUGAAGAACAAUAAAAAAGGAUAAAGAAACUAAAUAUAAGUAAAACUGAAAUAAAUGAUAAAAAUGGUAGUUUUAAAAAAACAAAGUUGUAUCUAGUUCUACAUAAAUGAACCAAUCAAUUUCAAGCAUAAUUAAAGAAUUGUAUAAUAUCUCUAAUAAUCAAAUACGAACUUAUCAAAAUCCGUAGUUUAAUAUGUGUGUAGGUCGGAUCAUAUAAGAGCUAAACUCAUCAUCUAAUCCAACAAAUACAUUUAUUUAGAAAGUUGAAGAGUGAGUGAAGAUAAUUUGUAUUAUGGAUCCCUCAAUUCCACCUGUAAGAUCUCUAAGCUACUUGAACAAGCAAAGAACUUUUGCGAACAAAACGAAAACGAAGGUAAAAGGAAG
rnacentral:lncRNA from 1 species